CCCUUAGAUGCUCUGGGCCGCACGCGCGCUACACUGGUCGACGCAACGAGUUUCUUUCCUUGGCCGACAGGCCUGGGCAAUCUUUGAACAUCGAUCGUGAUCGGGAUAGAUUCUUGUAAUUUUUGAUCUUAAACGAGGAAUUCCUAGUAAACGCAAGUCAUCAGCUUGCAUUGAUUACGUCCCUGCCCUUUGUACACACCGCCCGUCGCACCUACCGAUUGAAUGGUCCGGUGAAAUCUCCGGACUGGCGUGAGUCGGAGCAAUCUGACAAACACCGGAAAGUUGAUUAAACCUUACCAUUUAGAGGAAGGUGAAGUCGUAACA
rnacentral:rRNA from 1 species